GGCUCCUUGGUCUAGAGGUAUGAUUCUCGCUUUGGGUAUCUCCGAAUAUGCGAGAGGCCCCGGGUUCGAAUCCCGGAGGAGCCC